UGUAUGGAUGUAUGUGUGCAUUUGCAUAUCAAUGUGUGUAUAUGAUGGAUGUAUGCAUACAUAUGUG
rnacentral:miRNA from 1 species